UAUCUCUGUAGAGUCUGCAUAUCAAUAAGCGGAGGAAAAGAAACUAACUAGGAUUCCCUCAGUAACGGCGAGUGAAGCGGGAAGAGCUCAAAUUUGAAAUCUUCAAGGUUCUACCUUGACGAAUUGUAGUUUAAAGAAGUGUUUUCUGUUGGAGUUUUGGUAAAAGUUCUUUGGAAUAGGACAUCAUAGAGGGUGAGAAUCCCGUAUUUGACCAUUAUUUCCAGCUUUGUGAUACACUUUCAAAGAGUCGGAUUGUUUGGGAAUGCAGUCCAAAAUGGGUGGUAAAUUUCAUCUAAAGCUAAAUACUGGCGAGAGACCGAUAGCGAACAAGUACUGUGAGGGAAAGAUGAAAAGAACUUUGAAAAGAGAGCUAAACAGUACGUGAAAUUGUCAAAAGGGAAGCGUUUGACACCAGUGUUGUUUUUCCGAAAAUCAAUUACGAAUGGCUUGAUUCUGUGUUGUAUUGACCUUAUCAGCUUUCCUCACUUUUUUCGAGUCUUUCUUAAUGCACUUUUCGGUUAACAAGUCAACAUCAAUUUCUUUUGUUGUAAAAGAGUAUUCGGAAGGUGGCUUUCUUUUCGGAGAAAGUGUUUAUAGCCCUAUACUUCUACAAUCGGAGAGAUUGAGGUCCUGCAGCGUAGAUCCUUCGGGGUUAGAUACAUUUGUGCUAAGUUGUAGCUUUUCAUAGACAACUUGUUGACUAUGUUUAGUCAUGCGGCUUACUCGCUUAGUGCUAUUUUACCUACGCUUAGGAUGUUGACGAGACUGUCGAUCUC
rnacentral:rRNA from 1 species